rnacentral:rRNA from 1 species
AGAGCGUACGGUGGAUGCCUUGGCACCAGGAGCCGAUGAAGGACGUAGGAGGCUGCGAUAAGCCUCGGGGAGCUGUCAACCGAGCUGUGAUCCGAGGAUGUCCGAAUGGGGAAACCCAGCACGAGUGAUGUCGUGUUACCCGCGCCUGAAUAUAUAGGGCGUGUGGAGGGAACGUGGGGAAGUGAAACAUCUCAGUACCCACAGGAAGAGAAAACAACCGUGAUUCCGUGAGUAGUGGCGAGCGAAAGCGGAAGAGGCUAAACCAUGGGUGUGUGAUAGCCGGCAGGUGUUGCAUUCGUGGGGUUGUGGGGUUCAUUUUGUCUGUUCUGCCGAGCAGGCCAACAGUAAGAAAUCACAGGGUUAGUGGAAGUGGUCUGGAACGGCCUGUCGUAGAGGGUGAGAAUCCCGUACACGAAAACUUUGUGACUGUUGUAAUGGAAACCCAAGUAGCACCGGGCCCGUGAAAUCUGGUGUGAAUCUGUCGGGACCACCCGAUAAGCCUGAAUACUCCCUGGUGACCGAUAGCGGACUAGUACCGUGAGGGAAAGGUGAAAAGUACCCCGGGAGGGGAGUGAAAUAGUACCUGAAACCGUGCGCUUACAAUCCGUCAGAGCCUUCGAACAGUUUACUGUUGGGGGUGAUGGCGUGCCUUUUGAAGAAUGAGCCUGCGAGUUAGUGGCAUGUCGCGAGGUUAACCCGUGUGGGGUAGCCGUAGCGAAAGCGAGUCCGAAUAGGGCGAUCGUAGUGGCAUGCUCUAGACCCGAAGCGGAGUGAUCUACCCAUGGCCAGGUUGAAGCGACGGUAAGACGUCGUGGAGGACCGAACCCACUUAGGUUGAAAACUGAGGGGAUGAGUUGUGGGUAGGGGUGAAAGGCCAAUCAAACUCCGUGAUAGCUGGUUCUCCCCGAAAUGCAUUUAGGUGCAGCGUCGCGUGUUUCUCACCGGAGGUAGAGCUACUGGAUGGUCUAGGGGGCCCACAAGCUUACCGAAAUCAGCCAAACUCCGAAUGCCGGUGAGUGAGAGCGCGGCAGUGAGACUGCGGGCGAUAAGGUUCGUAGUCGAGAGGGAAACAGCCCAGAUCGCCAGCUAAGGUCCCUAAGCGUGUACUAAGUGGAAAAGGAUGUGGGGUCGCGAAGACAACCAGGAGGUUGGCUUAGAAGCAGCCACCCUUGAAAGAGUGCGUAAUAGCUCACUGGUCAAGUGAUCCUGCGCCGACAAUGUAGCGGGGCUCAAGUACACCACCGAAGCUGCGGCAUUCACGCAAUAGCCCCCAGUUGAUCCAAGGAUUUUCUGGCAGGUGUGUGGAUGGGUAGGGGAGCGUCGUGUGGCCAUGGAAGCGGCAGGGUGACCUAGCCGUGGAGGCCACACGAGUGAGAAUGCAGGCAUGAGUAGCGAAAGACGAGUGAGAAACUCGUCCGCCGAAUGACCAAGGGUUCCUGGGCCAGGUUAAUCCGCCCAGGGUGAGUCGGGACCUAAGACGAGGCCGACAGGCGUAGCCGAUGGACAACGGGUUGAUAUUCCCGUACCCGUGUGAACGCGCCCAUGGUGAAUCAGUGAUACUAACCAUCCUGAAGCCACGAGAAGACCUUCGGGUCUCGAGUUGGUGGAUGCAUGGGACCUGAUCUGGUAGUAGCCAAGCGAUGGGGUGACGCAGGAAGGUAGCUGAGCCAGUCAGUGGUAAUACUGGUGUAAGCGUGUAGGGCGUGACCUAGGCAAAUCCGGGUCACACAUAGCCUGAGACGUGAUGCGUAGCCGAUUGAGGCGAAUUCAGUGAUCCUAUGCUGCCGAGAAAAGCCUCUAGCGAGCUUUCACACGGCCCGUACCCCAAACCGACACAGGUGGUCAGGUAGAGAAUACUAAGGCGAUCGAGAUAACUAUGGUUAAGGAACUCGGCAAAAUGCCCCCGUAACUUCGGGAGAAGGGGGGCCCUGUUUGGUGACGACAUUUACUGUCUGAGCUGGGUGGGGCCGCAGAGACCAGUGAGAAGCGACUGUUUACUAAAAACACAGGUCCGUGCGAAGUCGUAAGACGAUGUAUACGGACUGACGCCUGCCCGGUGCUGGAAGGUUAAGAGGACCGGUUAGUUCCUUCGGGAGCGAAGCUGAGAAUUUAAGCCCCAGUAAACGGCGGUGGUAACUAUAACCAUCCUAAGGUAGCGAAAUUCCUUGUCGGGUAAGUUCCGACCUGCACGAAUGGCGUAACGACUUCUCAGCUGUCUCAACCGUAGACUCGGCGAAAUUGCAUUACGAGUAAAGAUGCUCGUUACGCGCGGCAGGACGAAAAGACCCCGGGACCUUCACUACAGCUUGGUAUUGGUGUUCGGUUCGGUUUGUGUAGGAUAGGUGGGAGACUGUGAAACGGUGACGCCAGUUAUCGUGGAGUCGUUGUUGAAAUACCACUCUGAUCGAAUUGGACCUCUAACCUCGGACCAUGAUCUGGUUCAGGGACAGUGCCUGGUGGGUAGUUUAACUGGGGCGGUUGCCUCCCAAAAUGUAACGGAGGCGCCCAAAGGUUCCCUCAGCCUGGUUGGCAAUCAGGUGUCGAGUGCAAGUGCACAAGGGAGCUUGACUGUGAGACUGACAGGUCGAGCAGGGACGAAAGUCGGGACUAGUGAUCCGGCACCGGCAAGUGGAAGCGGUGUCGCUCAACGGAUAAAAGGUACCCCGGGGAUAACAGGCUGAUCUUCCCCAAGAGUCCAUAUCGACGGGAUGGUUUGGCACCUCGAUGUCGGCUCGUCGCAUCCUGGGGCUGGAGUAGGUCCCAAGGGUUGGGCUGUUCGCCCAUUAAAGCGGCACGCGAGCUGGGUUUAGAACGUCGUGAGACAGUUCGGUCUCUAUCCGCCGCGCGCGUUAGAAACUUGAGGAAGGCUGUCCCUAGUACGAGAGGACCGGGACGGACGAACCUCUGGUGUGCCAGUUGUUCCGCCAGGAGCACCGCUGGUUAGCUACGUUCGGAAGGGAUAACCGCUGAAAGCAUCUAAGCGGGAAGCCUGUUCCAAGAUGAGGUUUCU